GCCGGAGUGGUGAAACUGGUAGACNNGACGCAGGGGACUCAAAAUCCCCCGAGGGCAACUUCAUGACGGUUCGAUUCCGUCCUCCGGCACCA
rnacentral:tRNA from 1 species